rnacentral:rRNA from 1 species
GAUGAACGCUGGCGGCGUGCCUAAUACAUGCAAGUCGAGCGAACAGACGAGGAGCUUGCCCCUCUGACGUUAGAGGCGGACGGGUGAGUAACACGUGGAUAACCUACCUAUAAGACUGGGAUAACUUCGGGAAACCGGAGCUAAUACCGGAUAAUAUAUUGAACCGCAUGGUUCAAUAGUGAAAGACGGUUUUGCUGUCACUUAUAGAUGGAUCCGCGCCGCAUUAGCUAGUUGGUAAGGUAACGGCUUACCAAGGCAACGAUGCGUAGCCGACCUGAGAGGGUGAUCAGCCACACUGGGACUGAGACACGGUCCAGACUCCUACGGGAGGCAGCAGUAGGGAAUUUUCCGCAAUGGGCGAAAGCCUGACGGAGCAACGCCGCGUGAGGGAUGAAGGUCUUCGGAUCGUAAAACUCUGUUAUUAGGGAAGAACAAAUUUGUAAGUAACUAUGCACGUCUUGACGGUACCUAAUCAGAAAGCCACGGCUAACUACGUG